GGUGGGGAGUGCAAACAUAAUUGUUAUGUUUAUUUUAUAAGCGUAAUAUGCAAACAUAAACAUAAUUACAAAUGAUUCUGAUGAAGAGCAGCCGUUCACAUUGUUAUUAAUAUUAAAAUUUCAAUUUCAAUAAAACAGUGGGGGGUGAGAAAUGAGAAUUACCCAGUCUUUUUGAAAAGGCACUACUGGUCCAGUCCAGACACAAAGCAAACGACUGUGUUUAUUUUCUUCAGUUGUUUUUGUCUGAUAAAAUCUAAAAUGUGUAUGACUUCUAGGAUGAAAAGGGGAAGUGAGUCAGUUCUGCAACAGCACAUUCUACUUUUAUAUUUAAUGUGAAGCACUUUCUUCACAGUCACAUUCAGCCACACUGCUCUGUCUGUAAGGCUGUUUUAUACUAAUGGCUCAUUAGCAAAGCACUGAGGCCAGACCAGAACUCUCUCCUGUGCAGGAAACAUUCUGGUUUAUUCACUGGAACAAGCCACAGGAGCCUGAGGACCUGUCCCAGGACCCAGAAUACUCUGACCGUGUGGAGUACCUGGGGAAUCAGAACAAUGACUGCACUUUCAGAAUAAACCAACUGAGAGAAACUGAUUCAGCAAUAUAUCGCUUCAAGUUCCUGACGACCUUUAUGGUGGAAAAUAUACUGGUCAUUCUGGAGUCUCAUUGACAGUUAUAGGUCUUCAGGUGAAAGUGACAGAGAAUGAGGCACAGAGUGUAACACUGACCUGUAGCAGCACCUGCACUUUGAGUGGCAGCCAAACCUUUACCUGGUACAAGAAUGGAAAAGUUGUCCCCUAUCAAAAUAAAUACUCCCUCAAUUUAGCGAGCACUGACGAUAUGGAUCGCUACUCCUGUGCUACAGGAGGGGUGACUUCCCCUGCAGUCAAUGUGAAAUGUUUGAAGGUGGAUGUAAAUUCUGACACAGUGUCAGGGGGAGAGACAGUGGAACUGACCUGUAGAGCAACCUGCACUCACCUGACUGAGAGCAACAGCUUCAUUUGGUACAACAAUGAGCAGCUUCUGACUGACUACUACAGGUUCUACCAGUCAUAUAUAAAGUUCACAGCCAGGAGUGGAGAUACGGGCAGAUACUCCUGUGCUGUAAGAGGCACUCAGCAUCUUGUUUCCCCCGCCGUGACUCUCAGUGUGAGAUGUGUAAAGGUUGAAAUUAAAUCUAGCACAGUCAGUGAGGGACUGAGGGUGACAUUAACCUGUAAAAUCACCUGCACUGACCUGACUGGCAGCCAAACAUUCAUCUGGUAUAAGAAUGGACAAUCACUACAAAACACCGCCCAGAAAUAUGAAAAUCAUAACUACUUUCAGAUCAAAGCCAGCAGUGGAGAUGCAGGCAGCUACUCCUGUGCAGUAAGAGGCCAUGAGAAUCUCCCGUCCCCAGCAGUGACUCUCUAUCUUCCUAAGAGCAUCUUAUUAUCAGUGAGCCCCUCUGGUGAAAUAGCGGAGGGCAGUUCAGUGACUCUGACCUGCAGCAGUGAUGCCAACCCACCAGUGCAGAGAUACACCUGGUUUAAGAAUAACAGAGCUGUAUCCUCAGAGACAGGAGUUCCAGAGGACAGUUACACCAUUAAAAACAUCACACUGCAGGAUGCAGGAGAAUACACCUGUCAGGCAGAGAAUGGGAUUGGGACAAACAGAUCUCCUCCUAAGCGUCUUGAUGUGCAGUGAAGAAGAGCACCAACAGAGAGAGACGGAGGAGCAGACGCUCUCGUACUAGCAGAGCCUUCAGAGAGUGACAAACGCAGCCAGCGACACAAACUCUGUGUUUCAGAGAGCUGGCGAGGCCUCAGUGUGGGAUUAACACACACAGAGGAGAGAAUCUGCAGAGAAUGAGAAAUGGUGGAGAUCAGGGUGAAAGAGUCUCUUUUUGUCUUUAACUUUACAGAACUGCUGUCUGUUUCUGCUAGAUUAUCCAAUUUAUAAAGAGCUGCUGGUGUUGGAUUUUUCCCAAAGUACUGGAACCCUGCUGCAACAUGCAUGUUCAUGUAACCCUGCUGCAUACAUGCUCCUGUGACACCGUUACACGUUUAUAUAACCCUGUUACACACACGCUCAUAGCUCAUGUACAUGCACAUGUACUCUCUCACAUUGAAUGGGAAGAUUAUGAUGCAGAUUAAUGCAGAUUGUAAUCUCCAAACUCAGGUAACUUUUAAAAGCAAGGUCCAACAUCUUUUAAAACAGUGUUUUAGCUUUACACUUUACAUUGCCUUGUUGUAUUGACCCCAUUUUUACUUUCUGUCUGGUUAGCUGUUUGAAAUAAUGCAUCUUUGUGUUUGUUUUCUUUACAUACAUUGUUUUAUUAUGUCUAUCAAUAUAUUAUGAUUUAUUUGAGCAUUGUAUAGCACUGUGAACCUUGAACCUCUGUUUUGAUAAAGAUUAUCAUUAUUUUCUUUAUAUGGCCAUCAUGUUUUGCCUGCAAACGCCGCCCCCCCCAAAAAACAAUAAAAUAAAAUAAACUAAAAUAAACAAAUUAAAUAAUAUUCAUAUAAAUUCCAUUUUAUUCAUGUGUGGGCAUCUAUUUCAUUUCUGUGAAAUGUGAAAGAUAGAAUAAUCCAAUCGGCUGUAUGUAGUAAAAGUCAUCUUCAUGAAGUAUAAGCAUUGAAAUGAAACUAAUUAUGUGCAUGAAGGACUGUAUAACAGGCAAAGCCAAACCAAAGUUCUAAAAGGUCACAUGAACAUCAACCACAGAAACAGCGCUGCUCCACCCCAACUGAACUGAGAUGAGGAAUAAAAUAAAGAAUGGAACAGGCUGCAGGAAGUGAGCAGCGCUUUAACUGUCUUUGGUCAGGGUGGCUCUCGUCUGAAAUUAGGCAGCUUCACCCACAGCCGCGCCCGCUACUCCUCUGCACAAAAGAGCCAAGCAGGGGCACCUCACAGUACCCGCUUUGAGGCCCCAGAGCCGUGAUACUUUCACAAAGAUAACUACACCUGUCCGCUCCUUAUAUCUUCUGCGAAAGCCGAUGCAGCCAUGCCCCAAACAAACUCAACAGUAUUUUUGUAAGCCCUUCUCUCUGCCUCAGGUAAACAAUUUAGUUACUUCAGUUCUGCUUAUUAAUGCCAGUUUACAGAGGUUACAAUAUCUAUCAGAAGCUAAAAUCUAUUUAGAAUUACUAUGAUUUGAUAUAACCUGUUUAACUCAUUAGACUGGGAAAGCAAAAAAUUUAAGACAUAUGUUACAGGAAAUUGGAACCUAAAUCUUAAAUACAAGAUCACAUACGUUGUUUAGAUGCCCUAUUGGCGGACAUCUUAAACUGUUUUAAGCUACACUUGUAUGUUGUCUUAUCUGUGUUUGUCGUUUGUCCGGUUAUGUGCUGAGUAUGCACUGACGCUUUUACACAAAUUAAGUUCCUAACAGAUAAAGUUAUUUUGAAUUUGAAUUUGGUUUAGAGAUUCUAGGCUGAGCAGAAUCUUUUUACAUUUGUUUUUACCACACAUCUGCUGUGAAAUGUAAAACAAAUGAUUGAUCUUAAGUUCCUGUUUAUGCUCAGCUCUGCAACAGAGAUUAAUAGAUUUCUUUGGCUUCAUGACAUGGGCAGAACUGUAAAUGAACUGCAUUUACUGGUGUGCUCUAUUCCUGAGUAAAAUGAUAGAUUUUGCCAUCAUUUAAUCUUUUGUGAAACUAAAUUUUAUACUUGAAAA